rnacentral:rRNA from 1 species
UACGUGAGGGGCAAGCGUUGUCCGGAUUUAUUGGGCGUAAAGAGCUCGUAGGUGGUUCGGUAAGUCGGAUGUGAAAUCUCCAGGCUCAACCUGGAGGGUCAUUCGAUACUGCCGUGACUAGAGGUCGGUAGGGGAGUGUGGAAUUCCUGGUGGAGCGGUGAAAUGCGCAGAUAUCAAAGAGGAACACCCGUAGCGAAGGCGGCACUCUGGGCCGAUACUGACACUGAGGAGCGAAAGCGUGGGGAGCGAACAGG